rnacentral:rRNA from 1 species
GACGUAGGGUCCAAGCGUUGUCCGGAUUUACUGGGCGUAAAGAGCGCGUAGGCGGCUCGUUAAGUGUGAAGCUAAAUCUCUAGGCUCAACCUAGAAACUAUUUCGCAUACUGGCGAGCUGGAGUGAUGAAGAGGUUUGUGGAAUUCCUGGUGUAGCGGUGAAAUGCGUUGAUAUCAGGAGGAACACCCAUGGCGAAGGCAGCAAACUGGUCAUCAACUGACGCUGAGGCGCGAAAGCGUGGGUAGCAAACAGGAUUAGAUACCCUGGUAGUCCACGCCCUAAACGAUGGAUACUAGGCGUAAGAGGUAUCGACCCCUCUUGUGCCGCAGCUAACGCAUUAAGUAUCCCGCCUGGGGAGUACGGCCGCAAGGUUGAA